GUGGCCACGCGGGCGGCCGCCGCGGCAGUCUUGCCGGUGGAGCCCGGGCUCGUUUCUCCGCCCCCUCCCCGCCCAGGCUCAGUAAACAGGGCUUGAGCGCCGGGGCCUGCCGGGCAGGGCUGAGUGUCUGAGGACAAGGCGCUGGCUUUGCUAAUCACAUCACAAGACCUUGAGCGAGGGCCAAAGGCGCGGAGUGGCGCGGGACGUCCCGGGCGGGGGAGCUGACUCUGAGGACAGGAGGAAAGGCCGGGAGAGCCGUGCGGGCUUGAAGGCGACUUAGCGCCACCCUUUCCGUCUGCUGGUCGGCCCGGCCUUCCCCAGCCCUCUGGGGCUGGGGGUGCAGCUGCCUGCCGAGGCUCCCCGCCCGGCACAGCCUGGGCCUGUUGCGUUCUUCCAGCCUCUUCCCUCCCCGGCAGUGGGGGCGCCGCGCCCAGCCUUUGCUCGAUGAGGGCUGCAGGAUCCGGCUGAGACCAACCCGCGGCGCAGGUUGCCAAAAAGCUUGGGCCUGAAGCUCGAAGGUCCCGGACCCGCUGGGGAAAGAACUAGGCCUGCCACUCAGGGAUUCGAGUCCCUGGAGUGUAGCCUGCAUUUCCCGCUACUGUACUCCGCUCAUGGCCCAGGCAGCCAGAGUCCAGGAUCAGUAGGAUGAAAAAUGAAUGCAGAUGAAGCUACUACCCAUCCAAAGCUAUGAUUCUCAAGAUAACUGUUAGUGGGUAACACUUAUUCUGAAAUUAUAAAUAAAAAAUGGUGAGCCAAUGAAAA